CAGCUGUAGCUAUAAUAAUAACGGCUGUUCGUCUAUCUGGCCGGUUGUCGUAUGAGAUAUCUUUUUCUAUAUUGACUUGUUUGCUUAUCGAGAUUCUCACAUUU